rnacentral:rRNA from 1 species
ACUCCUACGGGGCAGGCAGUGGGGAAUAUUGCACAAUGGGGGAAACCCGUAGCUGNAGCCAUGCCGCGUGUGUGAAGAAGGCCUUCGGGUUGUAAAGCACUUUCAGUAGGGAGGAAGGUAGUGUAGUUAACACCUGCACUAUUUGACGUUACCUACAGAAGAAGCACCGGCUAACUCCGUGCCAGCAGCCGCGGUAAUACGGAGGGUGCGAGCGUUAAUCGGAAUUACUGGGCGUAAAGCGCAUGCAGGCGGCCUGUUAAGUCAGAUGUGAAAGCCCGGGCUUAAGCC